rnacentral:lncRNA from 1 species
CGCAGCGACCCGACCAGUCGGCCGCCGCCGCUGGCCCCGGGGAUCCGAAGAGGAAGGGCGGUCCGGGCUCCACACUUAGCUUCGUGGGCAAACGCAGAGGCGGGAACAAACUAGCCCUCAAGACGGGAAUAGUAGCCAAGAAGCAGAAGACGGAGGAUGAGGUGAGCCAGCUUGGUGCAGGGGGUCCACCCACAUUGCCUUUCCCUUCCAGCUUUUGCGCCCAGCCUUCUCCCUCCCUGUCUGGUAUCCAGGCCUUUUAUGAGUGUGCCUGGCAGGGUAGGAGGGCUGUCAAUGGGUCCCCAGAUAACUUGACUUUAUAAUCUUCAGCUCAAACCCAGAGUCUUCUGGGUGACACUGGGAAUGGGUCACCUGUCUCAGGGCAGUCCUGACCCUGGUUCCUGGCACCCCCGUCCUAACCCGUAUCCCCUUUCCACAGGUAUUAACAAGUAAAGGUGACGCGUGGGCCAAGUACAUGGCAGAAGUGAAAAAGUACAAAGCUCACCAGUGCGGUGACGAUGAUAAAACUCGGCCCCUGGUGAAAUGACGCCCCUCCCCCACCUGCCCAUGGCCUGGGACUCUCUGCGAUGUACAUAACUAUUUAAUGCAGCGGCAGCGGCGACAGCCUUCCCUGAGAGGACUUAAAAGCAGAAGGAAACCGAGAUGCUUCCCGCAGCCGUGGACGAUUCUCCAGGACUCUUUUUUUACCUUGAGCACUUGCCUCGUGAGACUUCAUAGAACAGUGGUUUACUGUCCCCCCCUUCUCACCUCCUCAUUCUCUCUGGCUCUUUCUGUCUUCCUCUUCUCACCCUCCUCCCUCCCCUUAGCCAUCACUUCUGGGAAGUAAAGAACUUGACUU